AUGCACGACAUCAUCGGCGGGCCGGGGCAGACAGCGGUGCGGGUCGUCAGGGGCCAGGGCCCGCCGCACCCGUCCAUGCCUGGGAGCUACUUCGGUGACACGGCGGUGAUCGACGACCUCCUGACGGAGGGCCCUGGCCUGACGUCGAAGGCCGUCGGCCGGGCACAGGGCACGUACGUGCUAGCCGCCAUGGACGUCCCCGUGCUGGCGGUGAGCGUGACGGUGGUGAUCACCGAGGGGCAGUACAACGGGAGCACCCUUGUCAUCGCCGGCCGCGACGACAUCUCCCAGGAGGUGAGGGAGCUCGCGGUGGUCGGCGGGACGGGGCAGCUCCGGCGGGCUACCGGGCACGUGCUGUGGAGGACGGCCGAGGACGUGUCAGCGGUGUACAUGGUGCUGGAGCUGGACGUGCACGCGACGGUACCGAACGGCGCUGCUGCUGGUCGUCGUCAUGGAUGGGGCUGGCCGGCCGCCGCCGUGGGCAGCAGGAACAUGUCGGUCGGUUUGUCCGUUGAUUCCUAG
rnacentral:rRNA from 1 species